GCCCUUUCUGGAGAGAGAAACACAUGGGCUAGGAUUGUGUCUCUCUGCUCCAAGGAAUACGUUUUGAGAAGGAAUGAGAGCUCUUCUCUACAUUCUGAGGACAACCGUGAUCUCAAAGAAUGUUCGUCCUUAGAGUAUGAUGAGGAUAUCGUCCAAGUAAUGGAAGAUUUCAAUACCUCUUAUGAAGGCUAUUAAAGUGACAAGAACGUUUGAGAACGUCCUUGGAGCCAAGCUGAAGCCAAACGGGAGUCCCCGGAAUUGAAAG